rnacentral:rRNA from 1 species
GAUGAACGCUGGCGGCGUGCCUAAUACAUGCAAGUCGAGCGAACGGACGAGAAGCUUGCUUCUCUGAUGUUAGCGGCGGACGGGUGAGUAACACGUGGAUAACCUACCUAUAAGACUGGGAUAACUUCGGGAAACCGGAGCUAAUACCGGAUAAUAUUUUGAACCGCAUGGUUCAAAAGUGAAAGGCGGUCUUGCUGUCACUAAUAGAUGGAUCCGCGCUGCAUUAGCUAGUUGGUAAGGUAACGGCUUACCAAGGCAACGAUGCAUAGCCGACCUGAGAGGGUGAUCGGCCACACUGGAACUGAGACACGGUCCAGACUCCUACGGGAGGCAGCAGUAGGGAAUCUUCCGCAAUGGGCGAAAGCCUGACGGAGCAACGCCGCGUGAGUGAUGAAGGUCUUCGGAUCGUAAAACUCUGUUAUUAGGGAAGAACAUAUGUGUAAGUAACUGUGCACAUCUUGACGGUACCUAAUCAGAAAGCCACGGCUAACUACGUG